GACGAACGCUGGCGGCGUGCUUAACACAUGCAAGUCGAACGGUAAGGCCCUUCGGGAUACACGAGUGGCGAACGGGUGAGUAACACGUGGGUGAUCUGCCCUGCACUUCGGGAUAAGCCUGGGAAACUGGGUCUAAUACCGGAUAGGACCACUGCCUGCAUGGGUGGUGGUGGAAAGCUUUUGCGGUGUGGGAUGGGCCCGCGGCCUAUCAGCUUGUUGGUGGGGUGAUGGCCUACCAAGGCGACGACGGGUAGCCGGCCUGAGAGGGUGACCGGCCACACUGGGACUGAGAUACGGCCCAGACUACUACGGGAGGCAGCAGUGGGGAAUAUUGCACAAUGGGCGCAAGCCUGAUGCAGCGACGCCGCGUGAGGGAUGACGGCCUUCGGGUUGUAAACCUCUUUCAGCACCGACGAAGCGCAAGUGACGGUAGGUGCAGAAGGAGGACCGGCCAACUACGUGCCAGCCGCCGCCGUAA
rnacentral:rRNA from 1 species